rnacentral:rRNA from 1 species
CACGUAGGGGGCGAGCGUUGUCCGGAAUCAUUGGGCGUAAAGAGCUCGUAGGCGGCUCGGUAAGUCGGGUGUGAAACCCCCAGGCUCAACCUGGGGACGCCACCCGAUACUGCUGUGGCUAGAGUCCAGUAGGGGAGUGUGGAAUUCCCGGUGUAGCGGUGAAAUGCGCAGAUAUCGGGAGGAACACCAGCGGCGAAGGCGGCACUCUGGGCUGGAACUGACGCUGAGGAGCGAAAGCGUGGGUAGCAAACGAGGA